CUUUUGGGACUCAGCAGGAGAAUCUCCCACUGAAGAACACACAGAUUCUGAAGGAGGAGACUGCUUCUCUUCCAGAGGAUGACCUUCCGGAGCCAUCAGUGCAACCUCCCCGCAGUUACCAGCUUCCCCUAAAGUGCUGAUGAAUCCUCAGAUGGCUGUUUAAGUGAAGACACUGAAUCUUCAAGACGACUGUCUACUUGUUCGGAGACGUUUAAACCUGAACUUUCAACUGACACAGUGAUUUGUGUAGCCUAAGAAGUCUUGCCUUCUGCAAGGUCACAAAGACUUUGGUUUUUACCUAGAAUUCACCUGAAAGCAAACCUGCUAUAAUGAAUUCGUUUGGUGGGCACGGCAACAAGAAUGGAUUACACCGUCCGAGAGUCCAAGUCAAAGGAUGAGUUACCAUCACAAUCUCAGCGGCUCUUGACUAAGGAUAUGUGCACAUGAACAAAUCUUUUUUUUUAAAAAAACACAUGAACAAAUAUUAAAGAUAAAUUGUCGGGGCGCCUGGGUGGCUGUUGUUAAGCAUCUGCCUGUGGCUCAGGUCAUGAUCCCAGGGUCCUGGGAUCGAGCCCCGCAUCAGGCUCCCUGCUCGGCGGGAAGCCUGCUUCUCCCUCUCCCACUCCCCCUGCUUGUGUUCCCUCUCUCGCUGUCAAAUAAAUAAAUAAAAUCUUUAAAAAAAAAAGAAAAAAGAUAAAUUGUUAAAG